rnacentral:lncRNA from 1 species
UGGGAUCUAAAGAACAAGUAAGAUUUAAGCAUGCUAUGGGUUUUUUGGUCUGUUUUUUAAGUUUUCUUUGUUUUAUAGUAUUUCUUUACCACUAUAAAUUGUCACUUCUUAGAUAAGCAUUAGCACUUUUAUUAUGGAGCAUGAGGAAUAAAAAUGAACUUUUAACACUUUUGGAUUAUUUGGAGGCUUUAAAAACCUACACGAAUUUUCUACAUAUGGUAGGCAGACAGAAAGACAUUAUAGAUGGAGUGAAAUUUCAAGCCCAAAGUAAUGGGCAUGUUUUUAUGCUGAGUGAGAACAAAUCUUUAGAAUGAAUUCUUAUAAGGUAAUUUUUAAAUGAAGUGUCUAUUGCUAUAGCUGUUUUACUCUUACCUCUUGCCUAACAGAACAGGUCAGAGAGUAGUUCCUUUGAAGUCCCAAACCUACUUACUACCUGCAGAACCAUGACUUGGUACCAGAGAAUUUGGGCAAUAUGGGGUACAUUCCCCAAAUUAGAAUGUAAUAUAUGUUGGGAUGAUAAGGAGAGGGGCUUUAGUUAAUAGAGUAGAAAAGAGAAUAGGUGAGAUAAUGGUCAAAAGUAAAGCAAAUGAAGAGGGGAAAGUUGAAAAUAAUCAUAGGGAAUAAAGCAGAUCACCAUAAAAAUAAAAAGAGUAAACAAAUAGAUUACAUAAUAUUUUAUUAUCAACUAUUGAAAGAAAGGAUACAGAAAUAGGACAAAAUAAGAAUAGAGUGGAAACUGGAAACUAAAGAGAGGUAGAGACAGGAUAUGUAACAGGUUAUACUUGAUUAAAAUAGAGAAAUAAAAGAGGAAGUGUUCUAAGAUAAAGUUCCAUUUUUAAUUUUUCCUACUUAUUUGACAAUUUACUUAGUUGAAACUAGAUCUUGAGUGGUUUAAAAAAUAGAAAUGUUGAAUAUUUUUAUCUGUUUCAUUGAAGAAGGAAAAAUUGUAGUCAUCGUAUAAUUAUUUGAUGUUUUGGAGAUUUUUGCUUUAUGCGCAAUUCAAGCCAUGUUCAAAUGAAGAAAAUGUUUCUUGAUUUGUAUCAAGUUUUCCUUGAGUGUUCUAACCCUGCUCUACUCUUGAAAUCACUUGACUUUGAAAAAAGGGAAAAUCAUGCAUUUAGAGAGGUUAAAUAAGUCAUUAUAAUGUCUUUCUCAUCUACAGAAAGCAUGUGUUAACCAAUAUAAAUUUACAGUCAGAACAGUUCAAAUUGCUCCUGCAUUCAGGAAGGCAAAGCCCUAAAUUGAGCCUGUUGUUAUUGUGGAAAAGGCCGCAGGUUCCAUCCCUGGCCUUACUAAGUGGGUUAAGGAUCCUGCAUUGCUGUAAGCUGUGUUGUAGGUCGCAAACAUGGCUCGGAUCCCAUGUUGCUAUGGCUAUGGUGUAGACCAGAGGCUACAGCUCCAACUCAACCCCUAGCCUGGGAACCUCCAUAUGCCACAGGUGUGGCCCUAAAAAAAAAAAGAGAAAACAAAACAAACAAACAAACAAAUGCUGAUGCCGAUCUCAAUUGUAAUGUACAGAUUUACAAAGGAAUUUUAUAGGAGUUCCUGCCCUGGAGCAGCGGAAACGAAUCUGACUAGGAACCCUGAGGUUGCGGGUUCAAUCCCUGGCCUUGCUCAUUGGGUUAAGGAUCUGGUAUUGCCGUGAGCAGUGGUGUGUCUAUGUCUCAGACGAGGCUCAGAUCCUGCAUUGCUGUGGCUGUGAUGUAGGCCAGUGGCUGUAGCUCUGAUUGGAUCUCCACAUGCCUCUGGUGAGGCCCUAAAAAAAGACAAAGAUAAAAAUAAAUAAAUAAAUUUUAAAAAAGAAAGGAAUCUUGUAGAAGUGACAUUUUUUUUAUUCCAAAGCGUAAAUCAUAAAGAUUCAGCCAGGUAACUUCCCUUUUAAAGGUAAAUAAGUGAAAAUUCAUUUUUAGCAGCAUUUUCACCUUUUAAUUGGGAAGUGUGGCUUUAAGUUUAUGGUUAUUGCUAUUUAUUGCUUUUGGGGGGCUAUUAUGAGUUAAUUGUUUAUCAUCACAAUAAAAGGUCUCUUUUUUUCCUAAAAGUUGAAAUAUCUUGGGGAAAAGAUUUUGGUUACUUAUGGUCUAUUAUGUAUAAAGCUAUCAUUAAUAGUCAAGCAUCCAUUAUUUUUCCUAACUAUAGAGCUGAGUUUAAUGACCAUGGUGUAGAAAGAGCCUGUUGACGCUGACGCCAAAAUACUAGGUAAAAUCCCAACAUCUUCACUGAGAGCCACUUAGUCACUCUGGGCUUCCAUGAUUUCAUGUUCAAAACAAAGAUAACACUGCCUACUUAGAGGAUGGCUCUGGCAUUUGAACAGCCUAUCAACCUGAAAUUAUUUGGGUCUUGCCCAAUAUUACUAGAUGACAUAAAUGGUGACGCUUGGCUUGGUCAGGAACCUCGAUCACUAGAGGUUCCUAUCCAAAAUCCCACAAGUCAAACAAAUGAUUUCGUAGAGAUUAAAUUGCAGGUGUUUGUACUUGUCAUUCAACUUUAUCAUUAAAAAAGUUAUUUGGGGGGGUAAAUCAACCUUUAUUUAAAAAUCUUUAUUCAUCAUCUUCAUGGCUCUGUAUCUAGAGUGCAAGAAAAUCCUUCAGCAUCAUCAAAAUCUUUACCUGCUUUCCAGUGCUUUGCAUUCCUCAGUGGAAAAAAAUCUAGGAUUCUCUCCCCUAUUUCAGUAGUGCUACGCUAGGUGGUUUUACAAACAUCUCCUCACAUAAUCUUCACAUCUGUCAGGUAAAGUAGAUAUGAAUGUCUGCUUUUCUAGGCAGUUCUCAGAAAUGCCAAAUAUUGUGACCAAGGUCACCCAGCUAGAAAAGGGAAGGAACUGGAAUUGGGACUCAGAACUCUUCCCACAGCUUAUGUUUCUUACAAAACACCUUCCUAUUUUCUUUAGUGAAAUGCAAUAUUUUCAAUACAAAUAUUUGUAGAAGUAUUAUCACAGUAUAAGUGGUAAGACAGCCUCACUGACUCAGGAUUGUACCUGGGACAAGCUCUAUGGGGAGGCAUUAGUAAGCAUUAAAAAAAUUCUUCCUACUCAGCUAAUCGACAGCAGGGUCAACCUCAAGUCCUCCUGCAGGUGUCUUUAAGAUUCAAUUCAUCUACAUUUCUCUUUUAGCAGAGAGAAGUCCUAGGUCCUCUAUUUCUUUCUAAUUAUAGGCAUUUCUCUUCCUAAUAAAACCCCCAAAAUUCUCUUUUCUGCCCCUGCUUUUCUGCUGCUGGUUUGAAUUCUGUGGUUCAUCUGGGUUGGUCCAAGUCUACUUGCUAAAAACAGGGAAGAGAAUAAUUAUAUCCAAAUGCACAUUGAACAGUCCCUUUGAGACACUGGCCUUUUGAAUUUCUUUAAGAAAAAAAAAACUUAGAAAAAAUAAAAUUGAAGCUGCUGCAUGAGUAGUUAAUUUUAAAAAUAGUUGUUUCUAAUUAAUUCAUUAAAAUAAACCUAUUUUAUGCUCUUGUUAGACGUCACCCUAGACUAUAAAACAAAAUCAGCAAAUGAUUCUCUUUUACUCCUUCACACACACACACACACACACACACACACACACACCCUCACAUGCACAGAUAUACUUACACACAUGUAUGCACAUACCAUAAAAUGAUUUUCCCCUUUUCAAUGAAAUAUUCUAUAUUCUAUAUUUUUUAGACUACAUAAUAUUGAAAAAGAGAUUUUUGGAGAAAAGUUGAAAUGAUUGAGCCUUAAAUGUGUUAUGGCAUUUUUAAACUUUGAAUAAUCUCAGCCUAUCUAAACACAGCAUUUUAAGUAGUCAUCAUCUUGUUUCAUAAAUGAGGGGUUGACUAUGUUUAGAAAUAUGCUUUCAUUGUGCUGAUACCACAGAUCAGAUUUCUCUUUCCUCAGAUUGUCUGCAGUGUAAACAUGCUGCUUGAUAAAGAUGACAGUGAAGUUAACUUGAUUGCUAGGCAACUGUAUUGUUAUUGCCAUAGAUAAACACACUUAUUUCCUCUUUGGUGUUUUCCUGGUAAGGAAUUUCUAGACAAGCCUAAUGCUUUCUUUCGGAUUGAUUAUUCAUUUUAAGUAAUUGCGUAGGUAUCCUUUAUUCUUUGGGACUUAAUGCAUGGAAGAGUUCAGAAGGAAAUGUGAGCUCUCAGAUGGUGUUUUUCAAAGCAUGAUUAGAAACAGGGAUGUUAUCAAUGAGAAACAUUUGGAGUCUUGUACACGAGAAGGAAUAUAAAUUGUACAACAUAAGCAUGUUUCCAUCCAGACUGUGAAAACUAAGUGUUAUCUUGGAAUCAUGGGGGUGUUUUAUUUACAAUGUCAACUUCAUUCAUGAAACUCAAAUAAAUGCUUCCAGAAUGAAAUGGAGUAAUAGCAGUGGACCAAAGGGUUGUUUAUUUUACAUGGCUACCUCUGUACUUGCAAGCAGAGUUAUUGUCCCCCUGUGAGUCUUACAUAGAGCUUAUAAUUUACUUGCUAUAGAUAAAUGUUCAUUAUCUUCAACAACUACUGAUUAUAAGGAUCAGAAGGCAUCAAGAGGGCAAAAGUGCAGCAGCCAAGAGGAGUUCAAGGGCAAGGCCAGGGUGAUGCUGCUUAAACUACAAGCUGCCCCUAACUAGGAUCCAUGUUAUCCAGGAACCCUGGCUUGCCCAUUGACACUUUUGUACCACUAGAGUAACUUCAGUGCCCUUUUGUGAAAGGAAGGAAGCUUUGAAUUAGUGGGACCAGAGUAAUAAAACUAAUGCUGACAACGACAUCUUCAGCACCACUAUGAAAGAACACAGUAGAUGCCUCCCAGUGCCUCUUACACCCAGGUAUUCCCUGAAUUUUGAUAUCAGUUUGGCUGCCUAGCUCAGGGCAGAGUCGGUCCUGUCUGCAGUGCCCAUAUAUUUGUAACCCUGCAAGAGUGCC